rnacentral:rRNA from 1 species
CUGGUUGAUCCUGCCAGAGGUCACCGCUAUCGGGGUUCGAUUAAGCCAUGCGAGUCGAGAGGGUUCAGACCCUCGGCGGACUGCUCAGUAACACGUGGAUAACCUGCCCUAAGGUGGAGCAUAACCCCGGGAAACUGGGGAUAAUACUCCAUAGGUUAGAGAUACUGGAAUGUUCUUUAAUCGAAAGUUCCGGCGCCUUAGGAUGGAUCUGCGGCCGAUUAGGUAGUUGUUGGGGUAACGGCCCAACAAGCCUGUAAUCGGUACGGGUUGUGGGAGCAAGAGCCCGGAGAUGGAAUCUGAGACACGAUUCCAGGCCCUACGGGGCGCAGCAGGCGCGAAAACUUUACAAUGCAGGAAACUGUGAUAAGGGAACCCCGAGUGCCCGUAUACGCGGGCUGUCCGGGUGUAUAAAAAGCAUCUGAAGAAAGGGCCGGGCAAGACCGGUGCCAGCCGCCGCGGUAAUACCGGCGGCUCGAGUGGUGACCACUUUUAUUGGGCUUAAAGCGUUCGUAGCUGGACUCUUAAGUCUCUUGGGAAAUCCCGCGGCUCAACCGUGGGGCGUUUAAGAGAUACUGGGAGUCUAGGAACCGGGAGAGGUAAGAGGUACUUCGGGGGUAGAAGUGAAAUUCUGUAAUCCUCGAGGGACCACCGAUGGCGAAGGCAUCUUACCAGAACGGCUUCGACAGUGAGGAACGAAAGCUGGGGGAGCGAACGGGAUUAGAUACCCCGGUAGUCCUAGCCGUAAACGAUGCGCGUUAGGUGUACUGGUGACCACGAGUCACUGGGGUGCCGAAGGGAAACCGUGAAACGUGCCGCCUGGGAAGUACGGUCGCAAGGCUGAAACUUAAAGGAAUUGGCGGGGGAGCACCAC